rnacentral:lncRNA from 1 species
AUACCGUUGCGAAGCAGCAUCCAAAUAAUGAUUACAUGCGAGUCUGGUACAUAUGAGUGAAUUUGUAUAGGCUCCGCCGGCUGACGAAUCUGCACCAUCCAAUGAAUGGACUUCUGAUGGUUCUACCGGUGAUGCCUGUGCCAUGAAUGGUUGAUCUAUCAGAUGGUCGUGAGUGGCAGACGACAGGAGUGUUGAAAGGAGAUAUGGAUGACACAAGGUAGUGCUUAUAGUGGACUCACACGGC